rnacentral:rRNA from 1 species
AUGGCCAUGGAGAGGGGCUGGAAGGCCGGCAGCGCGUUUCGGUUUGAUGUGGUCGAGGAGGAGGACGAGGCGGCGGCGGCGAUACCGCCGCCGCAGACGCCGCUCGAGCCCAUGGAGUACCUGUCGAGGUCCUGGAGCGUGUCCGCGUCGGAGAUAUCCAAGAUCCUUGUCGGAGGCAAGAAGAGCUGCUUCAACAGGCUGCCGCUGCAGGAGAUGGGCAUACCGGAGGCCUCCGCCGUGCUCGCCACCACGGCCGUCGUUCCGAGCUAUCGACACCACACAGAUGCAAGGCGGAGUUCCAUCAGCGGGAUCGGACACCACCAGUCCAUCGGCAAAUGGUUCCACUACAAGGACGCGAGCCGGUCGAGGCAGAGCAGCAAGGAGAAGCUGCGCGCCGACAGGGCCCACGUGCACGCCAUGGUGUCGGUGGUCCGCGUCGCGGCCGCGGUGGCCGCCGUCGCGGCUGCGUCCACCAGCUCCGACACCCAGGCCUCCAAGAUGGCCGCGGCCAUGGCGCCGGCCACGGAGCUGCUGGCCUCGCACUGCGUGGAGGCGGCUCGGCUUGCCGGGGCGAGCCACGAGCAGGUGGCCUCCGCCGUCCAGUCCGCGGUCGGCGUCAGGACCGCCGGCGAUCUGACGACGCUCACAGCGGCAGCGGCAACCGCGCUGCGAGGAGCUGCGACGAUGAAGCAGAGGGUGCAGCGGGAGGCGGCGAGAAGCAACGCGAGCGUUCUUCCUUACGAGAAGGGCCAUUCGUGGAGCCCUGAUGUCUGGUGCAAGGAGGGGGAGCUGCUGAAACGCACAAGAAAAGGGGAUUUACACAGGACAAAAGUAUCUAUCUACAUCAACAGGAGGUCUCAGGUCAUGCUGAAGCUGAAAAGCAAGCACAUUGGAGGUGCACUGUCCAAGAACAACAAGAGCGUGGUUUACGGCGUAUACAGCGAGCUUCCGACGUGGGUGAUUGAGCCAGGGAAGGCCUUCAUGGAUGAGAAAUGCUGUUUCGGCCUGAGCACGGCGCAAGGUAUCGUAGAAUUCGAGUGUCAGGACGGCACGAGUAAGCAGAACUGGGUCGACGAUGUGCAGAACCUGCUUCGACAAGUUGCGGCAGAUGAUCGUGUGGCAGAUAAGCUGGAGUCGGUAGUGAAAAUGGGUUGA